AAUUGUUGAGUCGGGAAUGGCUCCCGACACUUCCUGAUAAGGGAACCUGAGAAGCAAGAUACGCCUCCCUGUCAGCAAUC
rnacentral:ncRNA from 12 species